rnacentral:rRNA from 1 species
GGCGACAGUGGGAAUAACGGGUGGGUUACCUUCCUUCAUACAGGGGGGAUAACCAUUUAAAAAAUAAAUGUUUAAUACCCGCAUAAGAUCCCCGGGUUUGCAUUGACUCAGUGGGAAAAAUUCCCGUGGGUAGAAGAUGGAACCCGCGUUUGAUUUAGGUAGUUGGUGGGUAUACGGCCUACCAAGCCGACGAUCAGUAGCCGACCUGAGAGGGUGACCGGCCACAUUUGGACUGAGACCCGGCCCAAACUUCCUACGGGAGGCAGCAGUGGGGAAUAUUGCACAAUGGGGGAAACCCUGAUGCAGCGACGCCGCGUGAGCGACGAAGUAUUUCGGUAUGUAAAGCUCUAUCAGCAGGGAAGAAAAUGACGGUACCUGACUAAGAAGCACCGGCUAAAUACGUGCCAGCAGCCGCGGUAAUACGUAUGGUGCACGCCUUAUCCGGAUUUACUGGGUGUAAAGGGAGCGUAGACGGCUGUGUAAGUCUGAAGUGAAAGCCCGGGGCUCAACCCCGGGACUGCUUUGGAAACUAUGCAGCUAGAGUGUCGGAGAGGUAAGUGGAAUUCCCAGUGUAGCGGUGAAAUGCGUAGAUAUUGGGAGGAACACCAGUGGCGAAGGCGGCUUACUGGACGAUGACUGACGUUGAGGCUCGAAAGCGUGGGGAGCAAACAGGAUUAGAUACCCUGGUAGUCCACGCCGUAAACGAUGACUACUAGGUGUCGGGUGUCACAGACAUUCGGUGCCGCAGCAAACGCA